rnacentral:rRNA from 1 species
AACGAACGCUGGCGGCAUGCCUAACACAUGCAAGUCGAACGAGAUCUUCGGAUCUAGUGGCGCACGGGUGCGUAACGCGUGGGAAUCUGCCCUUUGCUUCGGAAUAACAGUGAGAAAUUACUGCUAAUACCGGAUGAUGUCUUCGGACCAAAGAUUUAUCGGCAAGGGAUGAGCCCGCGUAGGAUUAGGUAGUUAGUGGGGUAAUGGCCUACCAAGCCGACGAUCCUUAGCUGGUCUGAGAGGAUGAUCAGCCACACUGGGACUGAGACACGGCCCAGACUCCUACGGGAGGCAGCAGUGGGGAAUAUUGGACAAUGGGCGAAAGCCUGAUCCAGCAAUGCCGCGUGAGUGAUGAAAGCCUUAGGGUUGUAAAGCUCUUUUACCAGGGAUGAUAAUGACAGUACCUGGAGAAUAAGCUCCGGCUAACUCCGUGCCAGCCGCCGCUGUAAAAC